CGGAGGGUGCAAGCGUUAUCCGGAUUUACUGGGUUUAAAGGGUGUGUAGGCGGGCUGUUAAGUCAGUGGUGAAAUCUCCGGGCUCAACCCGGAAACUGCCAUUGAUACUAAUGGUCUUGAAUAUCGUUGAGGUAGGCGGAAUAUGUCAUGUAGCGGUGAAAUGCAUAGAGAUGACAUAGAACACCAAUUGCGAAGGCAGCCUACUAAGCGAUGAUUGACGCUGAGGCACGAAAGCGUGGGGAUCAAACAGGAUUAGAUACCCUGGUAGUCCACGCCCUAAACGAUGAUUACUCGACAUACGCGAUACACAGUGUAUGUCUGAGCGAAAGCAUUAAGUAAUCCACCUGGGAAGUACGUCCGCAAGGAUG
rnacentral:rRNA from 1 species